rnacentral:sRNA from 1 species
AAUUAAAUACGUAUUACUUCUAUGGCGUGUAGUAGAAAGACUAGCUGCAUAUGGCACCUAAUUAAUAC